UGAUCUCCAGUGCAAUGCUGAAGAGAAGUGGUGAGAGUGGACAGCCUUGCCUUACUCUCCAUUUUAAGCACUUAAAGAUCUUGUUCCAUUGUCUUCUGGCCUUCAUUACUUCUGAUGAGAUGUCAACUUAGUUUUAUACAUGAGAGAUUGUACUUCCUGCCUCAUAAAAGGUAGGUGUGGCCAUAUGACUUGAUCAACCAAUGAAAAGUGAAGCGUGACCGUUUCUGGGCAGAACAUUUAAGCCUGUGUGUGACUGGACACUGUCAUGUCCCUCUGUGUGAGCCUCCGGAAGGAAAACAGUCCUGCCAACACCUUGAUGUUAGCCCAGUGAGACCCAUUUCAGACUGUGACCUUCAUAACUGUAAGACAAUAAAUCUGCAUUGUUGUAAGCCACUUAAGUCUGUGGUAAUUGGUUACAGCAGCAAAAGGAAACGAAUACACUCUGUCCCAACAGCAGCAGUGCUCCAAGGUGGGGAGGCUGUCAGCCUGCAUUCCUGGGUGAGUCACCCAGAGCAAAGCCAAGCCCCCUGCUGACCAUGGCAUACCUGGAGUACCAGCAAGAAGUACAACUCUCUCCUUUUAAGCCACAGAGAUUUUGCAAGUAUCUGCUUUUACAGCAUAGCUAUGAGUCAGUACAAAUCCCACACAAAGAAUGUAACUCUGUACAACUUUGCUCUGGGACUUGAAAUUUUUUUUCAGUGGGGCCUGAGAGUUCAGACCCCUAGAAGUGAUGAAACAUUUGGGCUACUCUGACAGGAACAUCAGCAGUGGUUCAGUGUUAGUUCAGCAAGUCUGUGGAGGGCCUGGUAUGUCGUAGCUCCUCAGUGCCGUAGAGGACACACACACAGCUUCAGAAUGCUCUGCUCUUUCUCAAAGGGAGAGUAAUUGGAAGGAGAAUCUCUGAAGGCAGUAAGCCCAGAAGACAAUAUAAGGUGUGAAUUCAAGAGAACUUCAGAGAGUUUUCAUAACAGUGGAGAAGGGUUACUAUGGUGAAGAAAACUUGAGAGAGAGUAGCAUCAACAAAUACACACUACCAAAUGUAAAAUAGAUGGCUAGUGGGAAGCUACUACAGAGCACAGGGAGACCAACUUGAUGCUUU